AGAUAUAGCAGAGUCUGCCGUGUACUUAAUCGGUUUGGUGUCAAUGAGGGAAAUUCCAGGAGCCAUGGAUUGUCAGCAUCAGCUUCAGGUUACCUGUUUCUCAAGACACUUUGGAUUGAGAGUGUGUGUCAUCCAUCAAAAACUAGGAAGCAUAUGGAGAAAGUCCUGGUGGGACUGUUGGAAUGUUAGCAAUCUUGAGAAUGGAACUGGAUUCAUCUGCUACAAGGAACAUAAUUUAUUUGACCAACGGAGCAUUCCUACCAAAGAAAAAUUUCAAAUUUAUAUCUACUCACAUGUCUCCUGGGGUAUAUAUCUUCCUUAUUUGGGCAGCUGCAGCAAGUUUGCUUGGCCUGGGACAAGAGGAGAUCAGUGGAGAUCUAGAGGAGCCCUAGAACUCUGAAACCUUCAACACAAUAUUAUCACCAAGAUCAAACUCAAAAUUAUGAAUGGCUUGUUCAAGACAGUUGAUCAAACAUGAUUUCCUCCAAGUUUGUAAGUUAAGUAAGUAAAUGUUGAAUGAGUAAAU